rnacentral:rRNA from 1 species
CCUACGGUGGGCAGCAGUGAGGAAUAUUGGUCAAUGGACGCGAGCCUGAACCAGCCAAGUAGCGUGAAGGAUGACUGCCCUACGGGUUGUAAACUUCUUUUAUAUAGGAAUAAAGUGAUGCACGUGUGCGUUUUUGUAUGUACUUUAUGAAUAAGGAUCGGCUAACUCCGUGCCAGCAGCCGCGGUAAUACGGAGGAUCCGAGCGUUAUCCGGAUUUAUUGGGUUUAAAGGGAGCGUAGAUGGAUUGUUAAGUCAGUUGUGAAAGUUUGCGGCUCAACCGUAAAAUUGCAAUUGAUACUGGCAGCCUUGAGUACAGUAGAGGUAGGCGGAAUUCGUGGUGUAGCGGUGAAAUGCUUAGAUAUCACGAAGAACUCCGAUUGCGAAGGCAGCCUACUAAACUGCAACUGACACUGAUGCUCGAAAGUGUGGGUAUCAAACAGGAUUAGAUACCCCGGUAGUC